rnacentral:rRNA from 1 species
AGCAGCCGCGGUAAUUCCAGCUCCAAUAGCGUAUAUUAAAGUUGUUGCAGUUAAAAAGCUCGUAGUUGAAUUUCGGGAUUGACGUGACGGUCGUGCCUUAAGGGGUAUGAACUGUUGCAGUCAAUUUCUCACCUUCUGGAGAAAUAUGAUGUCCUUAAUUGGGUGUCAUAUGAAACCAGAACUUUUACCUUGAAAAAAUUAGAGUGUUUAAAGCAAGCUUAUUGCUCGAAUACAUUAGCAUGGAAUAAUAAAAUAGGACGGCAUGAUUCUAUUUUGUUGGUUUCUAGGAUCACCGUAAUGAUUAAUAGGGAUAGUUGGGGGCAUUAGUAUUCAAUUGUCAGAGGUGAAAUUCUUGGAUUUAUUGAAGACUAACUACUGCGAAAGCAUUUGCCAAGGAUGUUUUCAUUAAUCAAGAACGAAAGUUAGGGGAUCGAAGACGAUCAGAUACCGUCGUAGUCUUAACCAUAAACUAUGCCGACUAGGAAUCAGACGAUGUUAAUUUUUUAAUGACUCGUUUGGCACCUUACG